ACGAACGCUGGCGGCAUGCCUAAUACAUGCAAGUCGAACGAACACUUCGGUGUUAGUGGCGCACGGGUGCGUAACGCGUGGGAAUCUACCCUUGGGUUCGGAAUAACAGUGGGAAACGACUGCUAAUACCGGAUGAUGACUUCGGUCCAAAGAUUUAUCGCCGAGAGAUGAGCCCGCGUAGGAUUAGGUAGUUGGUGGGGUAAAGGCCUACCAAGCCGACGAUCCUUAGCUGGUCUGAGAGGAUGAUCAGCCACACUGGGACUGAGACACGGCCCAGACUCCUACGGGAGGCAGCAGUGGGGAAUAUUGGACAAUGGGCGAAAGCCUGAUCCAGCAAUGCCGCGUGAGUGAUGAAGGCCUUAGGGUUGUAAAGCUCUUUUACCCGGGAUGAUAAUGACAGUACCGGGAGAAUAAGCUCCGGCUAACUCCGU
rnacentral:rRNA from 1 species